UACGUAGGGUGCGAGCGUUGUCCGGAUUUAUUGGGCGUAAAGAGCUCGUAGGCGGUUUGUCGCGUCGGCCGUGAAAUCUCCACGCUUAACGUGGAGCGUGCGGUCGAUACGGGCAGACUUGAGUUCGGUAGGGGAGACUGGAAUUCCUGGUGUAGCGGUGAAAUGCGCAGAUAUCAGGAGGAACACCGGUGGCGAAGGCGGGUCUCUGGGCCGAUACUGACGCUGAGGGACGAAAGCUAGGGGAGCGAAUGGG
rnacentral:rRNA from 1 species